rnacentral:rRNA from 1 species
CCUACGGGUGGCUGCAGUGGUGAAUAUUGGACAAUGGGGGGAACCCUGAUCCAGCCAUGCCGCGUGUGUGAAGAAGGCCCUCGGGUUGUAAAGCACUUUCAGUGAGGAAGAACGCCUGGUGGUUAAUACCCAUCAGGAAAGACAUCACUCACAGAAGAAGCACCGGCUAACUCCGUGCCAGCAGCCGCGGUAAUACGGAGGGUGCGAGCGUUAAUCGGAAUUACUGGGCGUAAAGCGCGCGUAGGUGGCUUGAUAAGCCGGUUGUGAAAGCCCCGGGCUCAACCUGGGAACGGCAUCCGGAACUGUCAAGCUAGAGUGCAGGAGAGGAAGGUAGAAUUCCCGGUGUAGCGGUGAAAUGCGUAGAGAUCGGGAGGAAUACCAGUGGCGAAGGCGGCCUUCUGGACUGACACUGACACUGAGGUGCGAAAGCGUGGGUAGCAAACAGGAUUAGAUACCCUAGUAGUC